AUCGAAACUCAAUAGAUAUAUUGC
rnacentral:siRNA from 1 species